CAGAAAAGGUUAUUUUUCAAUUAAUGUUCAAGCCAUAUGUGACCAUGAAUUGAUGCUUACCAAUCUUGUUGCUAGAUGGCCAGGGAGUACCCACGAUAGUAGAAUAUUUCAAAAUAGCAACAUUUGUGCACGGUUGGAAAGAAGAGAAAUUCAGGGAAUUAUAAUAGGGGAUAAUGGAUACCCACUCAGACCAUACUUGAUUACUCACAUGUAGAAACAUGGAGGAAAGGCGUUUCAAUUUUGCACUAUGUAAUGGUCGAGUGAAAAUAGAGAAUGUAUUCGGAAUAUGGAAAAGAAGAUUUCCAUGUCUACGACAGCAGCUCCGACUUAAGUUAUCAACAAGUUUACUGGUUAUUACAGCAUGCUCUGUGUUAUACAACAUUGCAAGGAAAGCUGCUGUCCCUGUCCCUGAAACAAAUGAUGACAAUCCAGAUGAUGUUUCAGUUCCCGUGUUACCAAACCAAAAUCAAGGAGGACAAGCUCUGAGAAGUAGCAGUGUGUGUGGCAGUGCUGGAGGUUGACGCGAACAAAUCUUUUCUUGAAUGGGGUGAUUGUGAGGAAUCCUUCUGCAAGUUUGCAUUAUCACUUUCCUGUGGCACUUGUUCCUGAAAUAAAAUAAAACACAAUUAUAAAAAUGACCCUACAAGAUGACGACUUUCCUUGAUUUCCGUAGAAAAAAGAAUGUUAUCACAAACGCUUUAUUGUUGGUAGUAUUUAUCUUGGGACUACUGGCUUUUAACGAAUAUCGGCAAGGUAAUGGGACGGUUUUAAGAUUUCCGUCAAAUGAAGAAAGAUAUAUUGAGCCUCCACCAAGUAUGUUAGUUGAAUCGGGAAAAAUUAAGUUCAUUCGUACGAGCUGUGGAACGCUAUGUGAUACUUCCAGACCAGGCACUCCUGGUCCAUAUUUUAAUCAUGUGACGGCUCUAAUAAAUUGCAAGGCUAUUUAUCGGAAUCCAUACAUUGAUGAAGCUCAUACUUUCAAAGUUCCUCCGAAAGAAAUCCCUCCAGAACUUUGGAAUGACUUUACGAUGGGAAACAGGUUACCUGUUUCUGCUUGGUAUUUCAGCCAGAUAUAUUUAGGAUCCAAAGCUAGGUCUUCUGUCUGGUCAAAAGAAGGGAUUGACCAGAUGGUAAGGCAAGCAGCAAGAGGUGCACUAGGUGGAAACUAUGGUGCCUCAGAGACAAACGCAUUGAGGGAUGGAAUGGAUCAUGCCCCGGGAAUUAAGAAUGGACGUGUAUUAGUAAUUGGUUCAGAAAAUCCUUGGGUUGAGGCGGCAGUUCUUGAAAAAGGUGCAAGAGAAGUCGUGACCUUAGAAUACGGCAGAAUAGAAUCAAGGCAUUCAAAAGUAAAAACGAUGGUUCCAUCUGAAUUCAGUGAGAGCUUUCUGAAUGGUUCACUUGGUUUAUUUGACGCAGUUGUUACUUUUAGCUCAGUAGAACAUUCCGGACUUGGGCGAUAUGGCGAUAGACUGAAUCCAUGGGGUGAUAUAAUAGCAAUAGCACGUGCAUGGUGUGUAACAAAAGUGAAUGGAUCGUUGACCAUAGGAGUUAUGUACGAUAAUGAGGACGAUUAUAUUCGAUACAAUGCCGGUAGGUGGUAUGGCAAAAUACGAUAUCCCUAUUUGUGUACAAACUGGAAGCAACACUACAGAGGUUCAGGAAUUCAAAGAGUGCAUGUUUUUACCAAAGUGGACCCUCAGUUCUAGUUAUUGUAUUUAAAUUAUUGAUAUAUGAUUUCAUUUUGUUAAGGACAAACGCGGGGUUUCUCAAUAAUGUAUUUCGUGACAUUUCCAGUAAAAUUCACUUUGCAGCCUAAUAUGUUUCUACUGUACUAAUAGAUUGGGGCAUAUCA